rnacentral:rRNA from 1 species
AUUGAACGCUGGCGGCAGGCUUAACACAUGCAAGUCGAGCGAGCGGCGGACGGGUGAGUAAUGUCUGGGAAACUGCCUGAUAGCGGGGGAUAACUACUGGAAACGGUAGAUAAUACCGCAUCCCAUCAGAUGUGCCCAGAUGGGAUUAGCGAUUAGGUGGGGUAAUGGCUCACCUAGGGGACGAUACCUAGCUAGUCUGAGAGGCUGACCAGCCACACUGGAACUGAGACACGGUCCAGACUCCUACGGGAGGCAGCAGUGGGGAAUAUUGCACAGUGGGCGCAAGCCUGAUGCAGCCAUGCCGCGUGUGUGAAGAAGGCCUUCGGGUUGUAAAGCACUUGCAGCGAGGAGGCGUUACUCGCAGAAGAAGCACCGGCUAACUCCGUGCCAGCCGCCGCGGUAAUAC